rnacentral:rRNA from 1 species
UACGUAGGGCGCAAGCGUGUCCGGAUUUAUUGGGCGUAAAGAGCUCGUAGGCGGUCUGUCGCGUCGGCUGUGAAACCCCGAGGCUCAACCUCGGGCCUGCAGUCGAUACGGGCAGACUAGAGUGUGGUAGGGGAGACUGGAAUUCCUGGUGUAGCGGUGGAAUGCGCAGAUAUCAGGAGGAACACCAAUGGCGAAGGCAGGUCUCUGGGCCACAACUGACGUGAG